GACGUAGGAGGCGAGCGUUGUCCGGAAUCACUGGGCGUAAAGCGCACGUAGGCGGGUCGUUAAGUCAGGAGUGAAAUCCUGGAGCUCAACUCCAGAACUGCCCUUGAUACUGGCGAUCUCGAGUUCGGGAGAGGUGAGUGGAACUGCGAGUGUAGAGGUGAAAUUCGUAGAUAUUCGCAAGAACACCAGUGGCGAAGGCGGCUCACUGGCCCGGUACUGACGCUGAGGUGCGAAAGCGUGGGGAGCAAACAGG
rnacentral:rRNA from 1 species